UCUUUGAGAUCUACCAAAUCUGUGGAUAUGCAAUACACUGAAGUGUGGAGAUGGAAUGAAGUUGAAAGGAUUCAUGAAUAAAAUUGUUGGCCUUGUAAUCCAUUUUUCUUCACAACCCAGUGAACACCUG
rnacentral:lncRNA from 1 species